GUUCUCCAAAAAUUAAUAAAAAGGAAUAUAAUAUAAAAUAUUGAUAGUUUAUUCUUCAGAAAAGCAUUUGAUGAAUGAAUCAUUGUGUGUUACCUUCCAUCUAAAAACCCAUUUUGUUAUAGGUAAUAUACUUUGUAAAUUUCUUGUCUUUUUAUAACUUUUUUCUAAUAUUUCCAUAUGAGCGGGAGGUUUGAGUGGUCAUAAAACUAGAUUCAAUCAACCAUAUUCUCUUUAAAAAAAUAAAACAAUACGUUAUACAUGUCAUAAGUUUUAUGUGUCUGGAGCGCUUUUUAUUUGGAUUAACCGUCAUCAUGCACGCACAAAGCCGUAUAUUUGAAAGCCUAGGGUGUAUUAGAUAGUCCACUAGAAGAGAAGAUAAACAUGUAUCGAUUCCUCAGUGCCCAAAAAUUGAAAGCAAUUCGUUAUAAAUUUCAAUUGUCCGAAAAACAUUCCUGGAUUCAUCUUCAUUAGGAACGCGAAAAGACGAAUAUUUAAAAGUCAAGGACGUAAUAUAAACAUCUUAUAAUGUAUAGUUUUAUCAUGGAAGUAUAAGCAAUAUUACUUCCAUGGUUUUAUCAACUUUCAUUUGAUGUAUUUUAAGCAGUG
rnacentral:lncRNA from 1 species